rnacentral:tRNA from 1 species
GCCGUGGUGGCACAGUUGUUAAGUGCUUGGCUGGUAACCAAGAGGUCUGUGGUUCAAAUCCCAACACCUGCU